UGUAAGCGUAUACCAAAGUUGUUUCAGUUAAAACGUUCGUAGUCGGAAUUUGGCAGUUCCGGAUGUGUGCACGUCGUGUGCGCACUUCGCGGGGAUUGCUUUUGUGGUCUUGCGUAGGAUGAGGCACUUUUAUUAGUGAACGUCCUCACGCAACCACUUUUUACUGUGAGAAAAUCAGAGUGCUCAAAGCAGGCAUUUGCCGUGAAUGUAUUAGCAUGGAAUAAUAGAAUAGGACUUGGUUCUAUUUUGUUGGUUUGUUGGGACUGAGUAAUGAUUAAGAGGGACAGUUGGGGGCAUUUGUAUUUCGGUGCUAGAGGUGAAAUUCUUAGAUUACCGAAAGACAAACUGCUGCGAAAGCGUCUGCCAAGGAUGUUUUCAUUGA
rnacentral:rRNA from 1 species